UCUCAGCUACAGUACUUGAAGUAGAAGUAAGAAGAUCUUUUUUUGAAGGCAAAAAGCAUACAUGCAUUUUGGCUUCAUCAAUGUUGCUUGCAGAAACCACAGUGUUUUUAUCAGGGGGAAAGCAAAAACUUGUUUACAGUGGAAAGCAUAACAAAAUCUGUGAUCUUUUUGCCUGAGGACUCUUUCCAAAACAACUUACUGUAACAGACAUCUAAGCACAACUGGAUUAUUUUGAAGCGAAUUCCAGAUAAUUGCAUUAUGUAAUUGUAUUGCUUUGUUUAUAGAAUGCUUUAUGAAAAUGUUGGGAGACCAAAUGAACAUGAUUAUAAUGUAAAGCGCCUAGCUCUCAAAGAAGCUUCCUGUUCCUGAAGAAAAGGUCUUAUUCUUUUCCAAGCCUUGCAACCCUACUCUCCAUCCCCAUAAAUCCUCUUUACCAAGAAGUCAUUUAUGCUAUUGUUCAUGUGGUGUCAGCUUUUCCCAAACCUGCUCUCCUCAAACUAGUGAGUCAUUUCUGUGAUGAUAGCUUAUUUCAGAAUCUUUCUUAAUCUCUUGUUUGGUUGUGGACCAAAUGUCAUACUGUCACAAUCAAGGGUUAGAUCAUGGUUUCUGAUAACAUGUAUCAAACUGGAGUUAAUUUCUUUACCUGAGGAAUGUUUCUAAACUGAAUCCUAUAAAGUGUUCUGAUAAU